GACGAACGCUGGCGGCGUGCCUAAUACAUGCAAGUCGAGCGCAGUGGGGCCGGGUGAGUAACAAGUGGGUAACCUCCCAUCAGAGGGGAUAACACUUGGAAACAGGUGCUAAACCGAUACUGAUGGAUGUACCCGCGGUUCAUUAGCAAGUUGGUGCGGUAACGGCUCACCCAGGCCAUGAGGCAUCGCCGACCGGAGAGGGGGAUCGGCCACACUGGGACUGAGACACGGCCCAGACUCCUACGGGAGGCAGCAGGAGGGAAUCUUCGGCAAUGGACGAAAGUCUGACCGAGCAACGCCGCGUGAGUGAAGAAGGUGUUCGGAUCGUAAAACUCUGUUGGUAGAGAAGCGGUAUCUAACCAGAAAGCCACGGCUAACUACGUGCCAGCAGCCGCGGUAAUUC
rnacentral:rRNA from 1 species